rnacentral:rRNA from 1 species
GAUGAACGCUGGCGGCGUGCCUAAUACAUGCAAGUCGAGCGAACAGACGAGGAGCUUGCUCCUCUGACGUUAGCGGCGGACGGGUGAGUAACACGUGGAUAACCUACCUAUAAGACUGGGAUAACUUCGGGAAACCGGAGCUAAUACCGGAUAAUAUAUUGAACCGCAUGGUUCAAUAGUGAAAGACGGUUUUGCUGUCACUUAUAGAUGGAUCCGCGCCGCAUUAGCUAGUUGGUAAGGUAACGGCUUACCAAGGCAACGAUGCGUAGCCGACCUGAGAGGGUGAUCGGCGACACUGGAACUGAGACACGGUCCAGACUCCUACGGGAGGCAGCAGUAGGGAACCUUCCGCAAUGGGCGAAAGCUUGACGGAGCAACGCCGCGUGAGUGAUGAAGAUCUUCGGAUCGUAAAACUCUGUUAUUAGGGAAGAACAAAUGUGUAAGUAACUAUGCACGUCUUGACGGUACCUAAUCAGAAAGCCACGGCUAACUACGUG